rnacentral:rRNA from 1 species
UACGGGGGGGGCAAGCGUUGUUCGGAAUUACUGGGCGUAAAGGGCCAGUAGGCGGCCAACUAAGUCCGACGUGAAAUCCCCAGGCUUAACCUGGGAACUGCGUCGGAUACUGGAUGGCUUGAAUUCGGGAGAGGGAUGCAGAAUUCCAGGUGUAGCGGUGAAAUGCGUAGAUAUCUGGAGGAACACCGGUGGCGAAGGCGGCAUCCUGGACCGACACUGACGCUGAGGCGCGAAAGCUAGGGGAGCAAACGGG